AAGUCGUAACAAGGUUUCCGUAGGUGAACCUGCGGAAGGAUCAUUAAAAGAAUAUCGAGCCUUCACAGCUCUUCAUUCUCACCCUUUGUAUAUCAAACUUUGUUGCUUUGGCAGCGCCUUUAGGGCCUGCAGAGGCCGAAACCCUAGAAUCUCUUGCCGUCUGAGUACCUAUAGUUAAUAGUUCAAAA
rnacentral:misc_RNA from 1 species